CCGCUGGGUAGCUACGUAUGGAUUAGAUAAUCGCUGAAAGCAUCUAAGUGAGAAACUAACCUCGAGAUGAGAUUUCCCAUUCGUCAGAAGUAAGACCCCUGAGAGACGAUCAGGUAGAUAGGCUAGAAGUGGAAGUGUAGUGAUGCAUGGAGCGGACUAGUACUAAUAGGUCGAGGACUUAACCAAG
rnacentral:rRNA from 1 species